rnacentral:rRNA from 1 species
AUUGAACGCUGGCGGCAGGCCUAACACAUGCAAGUCGAGCGAGCGGCGGACGGGUGAGUAAUGUAUGGGGACUGCCCGAUAGAGGGGGAUAACUACUGGAAACGGUAGCUAAUACCGCAUACUAUCGGAUAACCCAUAUGGGAUUAGCUAGUAGGUGAGGUAAUGGCUCACCUAGGCGACGAUCCCUAGCUGGUCUGAGAGGAUGAUCAGCCAAACUGGGACGUAGAAACGGGCCAGAAUCCUACGGAGGGAGGAGGGGGGAAUAUUGCACAAUGGGGGCAAGCCUGAUGCAGCCCUGCCGCGGGUAAGAAGAAGGCCCUAGGGUUGUAAAGUACUUUCAGUCGGGAGGCGUUACCGACAGAAGAAGCACCGGCUAACUCCGUGCCAGCAGCCGCGGUAAUUC